GGUUAAGCGACUAAGCGUACACGGUGGAUGCCCUGGCAGUCAGAGGCGAUGAAGGACGUGCUAAUCUGCGAUAAGCGUCGGUGAGGUGAUAUGAACCGUUAUAACCGGCGAUUUCCGAAUGGGGAAACCCAGUGUGUUUCGACACACUAUCAUUAACUGAAUCCAUAGGUUAAUGAGGCGAACCGGGGGAACUGAAACAUCUAAGUACCCCGAGGAAAAGAAAUCAACCGAGAUUCCCCCAGUAGCGGCGAGCGAACGGGGAGGAGCCCAGAGCCUGAAUCAGUGUGUGUGUUAGUGGAAGCGUCUGGAAAGGCGUGCGAUACAGGGUGACAGCCCCGUACACAAAAAUGCACAUAUUGUGAGCUCGAUGAGUAGGGCGGGACACGUGGUAUCCUGUCUGAAUAUGGGGGGACCAUCCUCCAAGGCUAAAUACUCCUGACUGACCGAUAGUGAACCAGUACCGUGAGGGAAAGGCGAAAAGAACCCCGGCGAGGGGAGUGAAAAAGAACCUGAAACCGUGUACGUACAAGCAGUGGGAGCCUCUUAAUGGGGUGACUGCGUACCUUUUGUAUAAUGGGUCAGCGACUUAUAUUCUGUAGCAAGGUUAACCGAAUAGGGGAGCCGAAGGGAAACCGAGUCUUAACUGGGCGUUAAGUUGCAGGGUAUAGACCCGAAACCCGGUGAUCUAGCCAUGGGCAGGUUGAAGGUUGGGUAACACUAACUGGAGGACCGAACCGACUAAUGUUGAAAAAUUAGCGGAUGACUUGUGGCUGGGGGUGAAAGGCCAAUCAAACCGGGAGAUAGCUGGUUCUCCCCGAAAGCUAUUUAGGUAGCGCCUCGUGAAUUCAUCUCCGGGGGUAGAGCACUGUUUCGGCAAGGGGGUCAUCCCGACUUACCAACCCGAUGCAAACUGCGAAUACCGGAGAAUGUUAUCACGGGAGACACACGGCGGGUGCUAACGUCCGUCGUGAAGAGGGAAACAACCCAGACCGCCAGCUAAGGUCCCAAAGUCAUGGUUAAGUGGGAAACGAUGUGGGAAGGCCCAGACAGCCAGGAUGUUGGCUUAGAAGCAGCCAUCAUUUAAAGAAAGCGUAAUAGCUCACUGGUCGAGUCGGCCUGCGCGGAAGAUGUAACGGGGCUAAACCAUGCACCGAAGCUGCGGCAGCGACACUAUGUGUUGUUGGGUAGGGGAGCGUUCUGUAAGCCUGUGAAGGUGGCCUGUGAGGGUUGCUGGAGGUAUCAGAAGUGCGAAUGCUGACAUAAGUAACGAUAAAGCGGGUGAAAAGCCCGCUCGCCGGAAGACCAAGGGUUCCUGUCCAACGUUAAUCGGGGCAGGGUGAGUCGACCCCUAAGGCGAGGCCGAAAGGCGUAGUCGAUGGGAAACAGGUUAAUAUUCCUGUACUUGGUGUUACUGCGAAGGGGGGACGGAGAAGGCUAUGUUGGCCGGGCGACGGUUGUCCCGGUUUAAGCGUGUAGGCUGGUUUUCCAGGCAAAUCCGGAAAACCAAGGCUGAGGCGUGAUGACGAGGCACUACGGUGCUGAAGCGACAAAUGCCCUGCUUCCAGGAAAAGCCUCUAAGCAUCAGGUAACAUCAAAUCGUACCCAAAACCGACACAGGUGGUCAGGUAGAGAAUACCAAGGCGCUUGAGAGAACUCGGGUGAAGGAACUAGGCAAAAUGGUGCCGUAACUUCGGGAGAAGGCACGCUGAUAUGUAGGUGAAGCGACUUGCUCGUGGAGCUGAAAUCAGUCGAAGAUACCAGCUGGCUGCAACUGUUUAUUAAAAACACAGCACUGUGCAAACACGAAAGUGGACGUAUACGGUGUGACGCCUGCCCGGUGCCGGAAGGUUAAUUGAUGGGGUUAGCGGUAACGCGAAACUCUUGAUCGAAGCCCCGGUAAACGGCGGCCGUAACUAUAACGGUCCUAAGGUAGCGAAAUUCCUUGUCGGGUAAGUUCCGACCUGCACGAAUGGCGUAAUGAUGGCCAGGCUGUCUCCACCCGAGACUCAGUGAAAUUGAACUCGCUGUGAAGAUGCAGUGUACCCGCGGCAAGACGGAAAGACCCCGUGAACCUUUACUAUAGCUUGACACUGAACAUUGAGCCUUGAUGUGUAGGAUAGGUGGGAGGCUUUGAAGUGUGGACGCCAGUCUGCAUGGAGCCGACCUUGAAAUACCACCCUUUAAUGUUUGAUGUUCUAACGUUGGCCCGUAAUCCGGGUUGCGGACAGUGUCUGGUGGGUAGUUUGACUGGGGCGGUCUCCUCCUAAAGAGUAACGGAGGAGCACGAAGGUUGGCUAAUCCUGGUCGGACAUCAGGAGGUUAGUGCAAUGGCAUAAGCCAGCUUGACUGCGAGCGUGACGGCGCGAGCAGGUGCGAAAGCAGGUCAUAGUGAUCCGGUGGUUCUGAAUGGAAGGGCCAUCGCUCAACGGAUAAAAGGUACUCCGGGGAUAACAGGCUGAUACCGCCCAAGAGUUCAUAUCGACGGCGGUGUUUGGCACCUCGAUGUCGGCUCAUCACAUCCUGGGGCUGAAGUAGGUCCCAAGGGUAUGGCUGUUCGCCAUUUAAAGUGGUACGCGAGCUGGGUUUAGAACGUCGUGAGACAGUUCGGUCCCUAUCUGCCGUGGGCGCUGGAGAACUGAGGGGGGCUGCUCCUAGUACGAGAGGACCGGAGUGGACGCAUCACUGGUGUUCGGGUUGUCAUGCCAAUGGCACUGCCCGGUAGCUAAAUGCGGAAGAGAUAAGUGCUGAAAGCAUCUAAGCACGAAACUUGCCCCGAGAUGAGUUCUCCCUGACUCCUUGAGAGUCCUGAAGGAACGUUGAAGACGACGACGUUGAUAGGCCGGGUGUGUAAGCGCAGCGAUGCGUUGAGCUAACCGGUACUAAUGAACCGUGAGGCUUAACCUU
rnacentral:rRNA from 1 species